rnacentral:snRNA from 1 species
GUGCUCACUUCAGCAGCACAUAUACUAAAAUUGGAAUGAUACAGAGAAGAUUAGCAUGACCCCUGCACAAGGAUGACAUGCAAAUUCAUGAAACGUUCCAUAUUUUU